rnacentral:rRNA from 1 species
UACGGAGGGGCUAGCGUUGUUCGGAAUUACUGGGCGUAAAGCGCACGUAGGCGGCUUGAUAAGUUAGAGGUGAAAGCCCGGGCUCAACCCCGGAAUUGCCUUUAAGACUGUUUCGCUUGAAUCAUGGAGAGGUCAGUGGAAUUCCGAGUGUAGAGGUGAAAUUCGUAGAUAUUCGGAAGAACACCAGUGGCGAAGGCGGCUGACUGGACAUGUAUUGACGCUGAGGUGCGAAAGCGUGGGAGCAAACAGG